rnacentral:rRNA from 1 species
CCUACGGGUGGCAGCAGUGGGGAAUAUUGGGCAAUGGAGGCAACUCUGACCCAGCAACGCCGCGUGAAUGAUGAAGGUCUUCGGAUUGUAAAGUUCUUUUCUAAGGGAAGAAGAAAGUGACGGUACCUUAGGAAUAAGCCUCGGCUAACUACGUGCCAGCAGCCGCGGUAAUACGUAGGAGGCAAGCGUUAUCCGGAAUGACUGGGCGUAAAGGGUGCGUAGGUGGUUUGACAAGUUAGUAGCGCAACUCCGGAGCUCAACUUCGGAACUACUACUAAAACUGUUGGACUUGAGGCAGGCGGAAUGCGUGGUGUAGCGGUGAAAUGCUUAGAUAUCACGCAGAACCCCGAUUGCGAAGGCAGCCUGCCAAGCCAUGACUGACGCUGAUGCACGAAAGCGUGGGGAUCAAACAGGAUUAGAUACCCUGGUAGUC